rnacentral:piRNA from 1 species
UGUCUCAUCGCAUCUUGAGCGGCCAUAGUGC